UGGUGUGUGUUUUAGUCGACCAAAGAGAGAGAGAGAAAGGGGAAGAACACCAAAAACCUAAUUUGAAGAAUCUAGAGAAAUCAAGAUGAAAUCUGAGUGUUUGGCAUGCAUGAUUAAAGAUUUCAAGCCACUAACAUCAUUUAUACAUAAGGUGAGAGCUUGGAAAGGAAUGGUUCAAAUGGAUUAAAGGCGCGAGGAAGCUCGAACGGACGCAAGGUAAGUAAACCUUAGAACUCCUAGAAUAGAAUUACAACUUACGUGAUGGAAAGUAUUUUGGUGAUUAAUGAGAAAGUGUUAAAAUGUGACCCUAUGGUGUCAACCAUAACGGGUCAAACGAGUAAAAUGGUGUGUAACCACAUAUUGUGUUUUGUCAAAAAAAUAGUUGUUGACAACAAGUAGGUUCGUCACUUGCAGAACUAAUUUCAAGGUCUUAACCAUUGAGUUUUGACAUGAUAUUCAGUCAGAAAUUGUUAACAACAUAAAGGAUGUUUGGAAAUUUUUAUAGAUUUUUGUAAAGUCUUUUGACAUGGUUUUGCGGGUGUUUCGUCAAUAAAAUAGUUGUUAACAACAAUCAGGUCCGCUACUUGCAGAAGUUAUUUCGAGGUCUUAAACAUUGAGUUUUGACACGAUAUUUGGUCAGAACUUUUUAAACAACAUAAAGGAUGUUUGGUAAUUUUUAUAGAUUUUUCUAAAUUCGUUUGAUGUGGUUUUGCGGGUGUUUCGUCAAUAAAAUAGGUGUUGACAGCAAACAGUUCUGCUACUUGCAGAAGCUAUUUCGAGGUCUUAAUCAUCGAGUGUUGACACAAUAUUUGAGCAGAAGUUGGAUUACAACAUAAAGGAUGUUUAGUAAUUUUUAUAGAUUUUUAUAAAGUUGUAUGACGAGGUUUUCGCGGAUGUUUUGUCAAUAAAUUAGUUGUUGACAGCAACAGUUCCGCUACUUGCAGAAAUUAUUUCGAGGUCUUAACAAUCGAGUUUUGACACGAUAUUUGACCAGAAGUUGGUUUACAACAUAAAGAAUUUUUAGUAAUUUUUAUAGAUUUUUUUAAAGUUGUUCGACGAGGUUUUCACGGAUGUUUUGUCAAUAAAUUAGUUGUUGACAGCAACAGUUCCAUUACUUGCAAAAAUUUUGACAUGAUAUUUGGCCAGAAGUUGUUUAACGUAAAUAAUGUUUGGUAAGUUUUAUACAUUUUUAUGAAAUGUUCAAUGCGGUUCAUGCCGAUGUUUUGUCAAUAAAAUAGUGGUUGACAGAACAAUGUUUGAUAAUUUUACAACGAGUUCAAAUGCCCACUAUUUUAAUCAAAACCUUUAAAGGUCUCCGGGUUGCAAAAGGGCUAAAGUUGAUUAAAAUGCCCCGGGAUGAUGAAUCGGACAAACUGCCCUUGUAGGUAGAAUAAAAAUGAUUCUUAUAAGUGGGAUCCGGUAGCGUAAAAGUGGGCAUAAGCUUUUGGCUUAAUGCCUACUAAUGGGUCGUUUUUGGUAAACGUUAUAUCAGAGGAAAUCAACGAAAAAUAUAAGGCUUGUCUAAUGUAAACAACCGUAAUCGAGUUAUGGUUGAUGGAAAUAAUUAGCAUGUUGGUUAUAAAGAGGAAGGCAUGUUUUAGAGUGUGAAAUGCCUCCUAACGGGUCGGUUGGGUAACAGGGAAUAAAUGGUUGCUUGUCGCGCAAUGCGAGAGCACUAUGUUUCAGCAAAAAGUUAUUUUCUUCCGUCGUUUUAACCCGCGAUGACUAUUUAACUUAAACACUAAUGUGUUUUAGUGUUUAUGAUAGGUUUUCUCUAGACUGGAACUGGACGGAAGGACGACCAAGCACGCGAAGAACCGAACAUUCUGAAACCGCGAUCUUUCGGAAAUAAUCAUGAGAAUGAAGCAUGAUCAUGCUUAACAAAUUUCAAGCAUAAAACCUUAAUGUUCUUAAACUGUAAUAAAGUGUAUAGUCCGUUAUGUCGGUUCGUUUGGGUUAUUAAUUAACCCAGACGUAUAAAUUCUAUGUUUUAUGUAAAAAAAAAUUGGGACCAAAUUAUCCGCGUUUUUAUUAAAAUAUUAGAUAAAACGGGUUAGAGUGUUACAAGUGGUAUUCAGAGCUUAAGGUUAAAGGUUGAAGGUGUUCGGUUCAAGACUUGGUCACAUGGUCCGGUAAGUUAUUAUAAAUAUUAAGGGUCUAGCAUGGUUAAAAGUGUUGUAAACAACACAUAGGGAUAUCGUGUGAAUGCACGUUACCCCAAAUAAGUUGGUAAAGACCGGUAUAGUUAGCGAAUUACUUGUGUUAACAAGUAUUGUAGAAAACCCUGUACAAUAGUGCAGACGCAUAUUAAUUCUAACGUUACUAAUCUUUUGUGAAUGUAUUAGUUGAAUAACACUCGCAUAUGAAGAUAGUGGGAGGCUAAUGAUCUACCGACGUGAUGACGGAAUGGUUCGAAGUAUGACAAGUAGAGCAUGCUUACCAAGCACCUAAAUCAAAUAAUGAUAUAGAAUAAAGGUUGAACAACAAUGAAACCCAUGAGGGAAUAUAUCACCCAGGUUCAUAUGACCGGGUGGCCAGAGGGUGACUCGCUAUGAUAGAUGAUAAAGAGAAUGAGUACAAGAUUAAAGUAACGGCGCGUGAGCCUUACACAUGAAGGGCGCAUACGGAAAGGCCUACGAUAUUCCAAGACCGAAGAGAUGAACGCCUUAAAAACAAAAAU
rnacentral:lncRNA from 1 species